CACGCCGUAAACGGUGGGUACUAGGUGUGGGUUUCCUUCCUUGGGAUCCGUGCCGUAGCUAACGCAUUAAGUACCCCGCCUGGGGAGUACGGCCGCAAGGCUAAAACUCAAAGAAAUUGA
rnacentral:rRNA from 1 species